UCAGAGAAUGUGCAAUGGAAUGAAAAUAUUUUAUCUAAAAAUGCUGAAUACAGCUUUCUCCCUUUGCCCUCUACUUCGCAGGCACCACAAGGACUUACUUUUGAAAAAACACUAGAUUCUACAUUAACUGAACGUGAGAAGAUCCUGCUGAGUCAUUUGACUCAAACUUAAUUAAGCUUAAAGCGUUUGGCAGUCGAAAUGCGAACUGUGAGGAAGACACUAAUAAAUUGUUUGUAGCUUAUAACGAUAUUAGCGGGGUCCGCACUGACAUGCCUAAUAGAA